AUUUGCCUCCAAAGGCCCCAAGAAGAAUCUGACUGAGAGUGACCCCGGAGAAGACAGGAAAGUUUUUUACUACAAAGAACCUUAGACAUUCAUGCUAAAAGAUGCACUUUCCUGUCAGAGGUGUCUUCUGAUUGGAUCUGUGCACAUCAGGUGAGGCCUCACUUUUGAGCUGCAAAAAUUUGGUGCCCAAUGUGGGUCUGGGUCUUAAGAGCCUUGCCCAAGGACUCCACAACCCCAUGGGACAGUGUGUGCCGGCCACUGACCCUACAGGGGCCACCUAGAUUUCUUUGUCUAGAGGCUCAGCAGAUGAAACUGAACUUUGCUCUCACUGGCAUUGCUGACCUCAAUGGUGCUUCAUUUUGGGGAGAGAAACGAUCCUACGAACAGACAUCUUCUAGAACUAACUGAAACUAGCGAAGCAUGCGCUGAAAAGACAAGACCCGAAAUUAAAAUGACCCCAGGACAUAAAAUACACUGCCAAUGAAAUCAAAGUGAGCAGGGAUAACAAAAAAGAGGGAUACUGGACCUGCAAGAAAGCAAGAAGUCCGACCAUCACAAGCCCAUACCUCAAGAUAACAGAACCUGUGAGCCAAUGAUGAUAGCCAACUUACAAUCCUUAGUUGGAAUGUUUACUAGCAAAUCCCAAUGUGCCAAUAGCCCUAGCAUCCCUAGCCCCACCUCCCUUUGUUUAACCCAAUAAAUAUCCCUCAACAACUUUCCACUCAGGGAGACAGAUCUGAGGAAAAUACUAUCCUCCUGUCUUAG